ensembl:lncRNA
AUGCCAGGCUACUGUAAAACAACUCAAUACUUCCUAAAACCAGAGUUGCAAUUGCCGUGGUUUAAACUAGUGUUUCUACAGCCUGAAAAGCUCAAAAACGAUGUUUUAGUGUUUCUGCAUUGGUUUCCAUCAGAGCAGCCUCUAAUGGUCAUGUUCUCAUGCCAGGCUACUGUAAAAAAGCUCAAUACAUCCUAAAUGUACAGUUGCAAUUGCCGUGAUUUCAACUAGUUUUUCUACAGCCUGAAAAGCUCAAAAAACGAGGUUUUAGUGUUUCUGCAUUGGUUUCCAUCAGAGCAGCGUCUAAUGGUCAUGUUCUGAUGCCAGAAUACUGUAAAACAGCUCAAUACAUCCUAAAUGUACAAUUGCAAUUGCCAUGGUUUUGUGGUAAAUUCUGUUCCUCCUAUGGAGUUAUCUCUGUCCAUUGCAACAAAUGUCAAGACCGUGGUGUCAGGUUGGCCACUAAAACAAAUAAACUGCUGCAGCUGAGUAAACAUGGACUUUCGAUGGACACGCAGGCACUCGCUGGUUGCAUAAACAACACAGCUUUAAAAAGUGGGCAUUGGGAGAUGUUUCUUAGAGUGCUUCGCAAAGGGGCUGCUGCAGACACCCAGCUGGCCUUUUUCGACCUCUCAGUUCUUUCUGCAGAAGAACAAGCGGGUGAAUUCGGCUACCACCUCUCUCAUGAUUAUUCUGUGAUUGUACUAUUUCAUUCUAUGUAAUAAAUUCAUGUGUUAAUUUGAGCAUAAAAGUUGAGUCUGUGUGAACUCUCUAACAAUGUUGGAACAUCAAAAUACACGACAGUUUAAACUAGUGUUUUUACAGCCUGAAAAGCUCAAAAACGAUGUUUUAGUGUUUCUGCAUUGGUUUCCAUCAGAGUAGCCUCUAAUGGUCAUGUUCUGAUGCCAGAAUACUGUCCAAUAGCUCAAUACAUCCUAAAUGUACAGUUGCAUAUGCGGUGGUUGGAACUAGUGUUCUUAUGACCUGAAAAGCUCAAAAACAAUGUUUUAGUGUUUCUGCAUUGUUUUUUUAACAUUACAGUUCAUAAUGGUCAUGUUCUCAUGCCAGGAUACUGUAAAACAGCUCAAUACAUGCUAAAAGCAGAGUUGCAAUUGCUAUGGUUUAAACUAGUGUUUCUGCAGCCUGACAGGCUCAAAAAUGAUGUUUUAGUGUUUCUGCAUUAGUUUGCAUCAGAGCAGCCUCUAAUGGUCAUGCUUGAUGCCAGAAUACUGUCAAACAGCUCAAUACAUCCUAAAUGUACAGUUGCAUAUGUGGUGGUUUGAAAUAGUGUUCUUAUGACCUGAAAAGCUCAAAAACGAUGUUUUAGUGUUUCUGCAUUGUUUUUUUAACAUUACAGUUCAUAAUGGUCAUGUUCUCAUGCCAGGCUACUUUCAAACAGCUCAAUACAUCCUAAAAGCAGAGUUGCAAUUGUCGUGGUUUAAACUAGUGUUUCUACAGCCUGAAAAGCUCAAAAACGAUGUUUUAGUGUUUCUGCAUUGGUUUCCAUCAGAGCAGCCUCUAAUGGUCAUGUUCUGAUGCCAGAAUACUGUCAAACAGCUCAAUACAUCCUAAAUGUACAAUUGCAUAUGCGGUGGUUUGAACUAGUGUUCUUAUGACCUGAAAAGCUCCCAAACGAUGUUGUAGUGUUUCUUCAUUGGUUGUUGAACAUUACAGUUUAUAAUGGUCAUGUUCUCAUGCCAGGCUACUGUAAAAAAGCUCAAU